AUGUGUGGCCCAUUGUACAGUCCAAAACCAGGCAAGCCCAAAGCAAUAAAAAAAGGCAUGUGCCGAAAAGAACCAAGCGUGUGUUUCAGUAGGAAAAUAUUGUCCAGAUUUUUGUUCAUCAAUCAGGCAUAUCUAUACAUUCAAAUAAGCCGAAAACAUAAAAAAUCAGAACAGUUUAAGGCUUAUUAA